UACAGAGGUCCCAAGCGUUGUUCGGAUUCAUUGGGCGUAAAGGGUGCGUAGGCGGCGCGGUAAGUCGGGUGUGAAAUCUCGGAGCUUAACUCCGAAACUGCACUCGAUACUGCUCUGCUUGAGGACUGGAGAGGAGACUGGAAUUCACGGUGUAGCAGUGAAAUGCGUAGAUAUCGUGAGGAAGACCAGUGGCGAAGGCGGGUCUCUGGACAGUUCCUGACGCUGAGGCGCGAAGGCCAGGGGAGCAAACGGG
rnacentral:rRNA from 1 species